rnacentral:lncRNA from 1 species
ACACAGUUCCUCAGUCACACUAACCACAUUUCAAGUUCUUGUUAGCCACAAGUGGCAGGCAGUUACCAUAUGGACGGCACAGAUGUAGAACAUCAUCACAAAGAGUACACUGAACAGCACUGUUCUAGAACUAACGUAGCACCUGUCCUCAGAUCCAAGAUACCCAGGAAACCCCAAGCUGUGUAACUAAAAUCCACACAUGGACACACUACAGUCAAACUGCAAAAUACUAAAACUGAGAAAGUCUUAAAAACAGCCAGUGAGGAGUCACACCACCGACAAAGGAACAAUAAUUAGCUAACUGGCUUCCCAGCAGCAAAUGUCAAAGCCAGUAGAAAACAAAGGAAGAAUACCUUCAUUGUACUAGGAGAAAAUGCUGUCAACCUAGAACUCUUUCAAGACCAGGGUAAUUUUCAUACUUAAGAGACAUAUAAGAGAUUUACCAACAACAUACCUUCUCAAUGGAAAUUCCAAUUCAUUUUAGAUGGAAGGGAAAUUAUCUCAAGACAAGACUGAAAGAAAAAGAUAUAACUAAAAUACUGGGCAAUAAUUGAUCAUAUUGGGGGAGAUGACUGGAGUUAAAUAACCUUAUGUCUUUUUGUAAUUCAGGAAAAGGCUAAUGAUAUUAAGUAAUUUCAGACUUUAAUGUUAACAUGCUUAUGAUAACCACUGGAAAAAAGAGACUUAUAACACAAACCUUCCACAAAGUUGGGAGUGGGCUCCUACAAUCUAUAAGAUGGUAGACAGAAAUCCAAAUACAUCAGUAAACACAAUGCUGUACAGGCAGGCACCAAGAUCAGACUGGAUAAAAAGUGAAACAUAAAAGCUGACUGUAUGCUGGGAAUAAAGUUAGCCUCAACAAAUUUCCAGGUACAGUAUUGAUUUUAAUCAGGCUCCCUGAUCACAAUGCAAUCAAGUUAGAAAUCACCAACAAGAGAAAAACCCAAUACAGCUGGAAAUUAAACACAAUUCCGACAACUCAUAGGUUAAAGACAACUCUUUAAAGUCUCAGAAAUAUGAAGCUUGUUCCAACUGCCUUAAAACAUCAGGCAAUUUCUCAUGUAAUCAUUAGUAAAAUUGAUUAUGUUUUAAAAAAUAUAAUUGCCA